CAGUAUUUUAAUACUUUCAUGCAUCUUAAGGUCUCAUGAUCAUUUGUAAUCCAGCCUUGUUGUGGACUCAUGUAUAUACUAUCAAAUGACCACUGGGUAGAAACUUCAGUAAGGUCUCUCGGAUCAUCACUUUGGAUCAGGCACACAAAGAAAGGAAAACAUGCUAAAUACCAUAUCUGGUAUUUUGGUGCAUAAGGAGCCAAAACAACCUCGUACUGGUACAUUGUUGCAAAC
rnacentral:lncRNA from 1 species